rnacentral:rRNA from 1 species
UACAGAGGGUGCGGAGCGUUGUUCGGAAUUACUGGGCGUAAACGCACGUAGGCGGAUAUUUAAGUCAGGGGUGAAAUCCCAGAGCUCAACUCUGGAACUGCCUUUGAUACUGGGUAUCUCGAGUAUGGAAGAGGUGAGUGGAAUUCCGAGUGUAGAGGUGAAAUUCGUAGAUAUUCGGAGGAACACCAGUGGCGAAGGCGGCUCACUGGUCCAUUACUGACGCUGAGGUGCGAAAGCGUGGGGAGCAAACAGG